rnacentral:lncRNA from 1 species
AACAAAUAUGGAUGGAACAGCAAAGCUUGGGGAACAGGACCUUAACAGAGCAAAGAGGCAGGUAUAAAGAUUAGAAAUGGUUUAGUGGUCAGUGGGGGAUUGGGUUAUGGUAUAUUUAACUCAGCCAGCUUGUGUAAAUUGGGCAUUUUAAUUAGUAUUUGUCUUCAGGAUUGUGUAGAUUAUUUUUUUGUCUUGCAGAUGGAGCCUGCAAUGCCGGAUGGGAGAUUGGAGGCCUUGCUGGCUAGGACCAGGGCAGCAGAACAGGAGCGCGGCAUGGAAUGGCUGCAGGAGCAGCUCGGAUCUUUGGUGUCAUCCGCUACUACUACAUUGAAGGUGCAACAGCCCAUGAGGCAGAUCAGGCCGCCUCAGACUUUGAGCCCCAGCGAUGUUCCCAUAUGGAAACGGAGGAGGAGUCCAUCACGAAUGAUCACUGCAUCCAGCGGACCGGAGGGCCACAGGAGGUGAAGUUCGCUUGUGGGAGCUGUAUCGUGGCGGCUGGUGCACAACAAGGACUGGGUUGCUGAGUUGGAGGCCGGCCUGAGUGAUGGAAUUCUGCACCGCACGAGGGCUGGCAGGUACACUACAGGAAAGGUGACGGCAGGCUCCCGAGGCACAGGGGGCUCUGCCAGGAGAAGGAGCUAUGCGGAUGGCGGCCUGGGGGCACAGGGUGAAUUGCCCCCCAAUAGACAAAAAUAUAUUUAUUGUGAAAGGCGUGAGGAAAUGGCUGGGGGUCCGCCUGAAGUAUAUGACAGCAGUGGAGCAGUUAUGACUGGGCAGGGCUCAGGUACGAGGAGGGGCCUAUCGGCUUUCCUGCCUCAUGCAGGGGUUGUUGGCACAGAAGUCAGAGAUAACAGAGGCCACACCACAGAGAGCAUCAGCAGGUCCCCCACCAUGGCGCCCAGUAGCGGGGUUGUCAGGCGCGAGCACAAUAGCUGGUCCGGGAGCAAGCAGCACAGUGAGUGGCACCAAGGGCCAGUGCAAGGAUUUUUAGCUACACAGGCGAAGACGCAUUUUGACGCCCCCCUUUAAAAAAAAAAAAAAAGCAUCUUCACCUGUGUGUCUCGUAACCCCCCUUUUGCAUUUUUUACCCUCUUUAUUGUAUUUUAUCCCCCCUUUACUAUGUAUUACACCCCUUACAACCCCACUUACAACCCCACUUGUGUAUCUCAGUCCCUUUGUGUGUCUCUUUCUUCCCCCAGGGGCUGAGAGGGGUGGACAGGAGCUGUGGUGGGGGGCAAAUCAGGUUGCAUGGGCUGAGAGAGGGGAAAUGGGCGGUUGUGAGGG